rnacentral:rRNA from 1 species
GGGCAACCUGCCUGAAAGACUGGGAUGCUUCGGGAAACCGAAGCUAAUACCGGAUAGGAUCUUCUCCUUCAUGGGAGAUGAUUGAAAGAUGGUUUCGGCUAUCACUUACAGAUGGGCCCGCGGUGCAUUAGCUAGUUGGUGAGGUAACGGCUCACCAAGGCAACGAUGCAUACCCGACCUGAGAGGGUGAUCGGCCACACUGGGACUGACACACGGCCCAGACUCCUACGGGAGGCAGCAGUAGGGAAUCUUCCGCAAUGGACGAAAGUCUGACGGAGCAACGGCGCGGGAGUGAUGAAGGCUUUCGGGUCGUAAAACUCUGUUGUUAGGGAAGAACAAGUACAAGAGUAACUGCUUGUACCUUGACGGUACCUAACCAGAAAGCCACGGCUAACUACGUGCCAGCACCCGCGGUAAUACGUAGGUGGCAAGCGUUAUCCGGAAUUAUUGGGCGUAAAGCGCGCGCAGGCGGUUUCUUAAGUCUGAUGUGAAAGCCCACGGCUC